UCAUGGCUCAGGAUGAACGCUAGCGGCAGGCCUAACACAUGCAAGUCGAGGGGCAGCGGGGUGUAGCAAUACACUGCCGGCGACCGGCGCACGGGUGAGUAACGCGUAUGCAACCUACCUUCAACAGGAGGAUAGCCCCGAGAAGUCGGGAUUAAUACUCCAUAAUGUAUAUUAAUCGCAUGGUUAAUAUAUUAAAGUUCCGGCGGUUGAAGAUGGGCAUGCGUGACAUUAGCUAGUUGGUGAGGUAACGGCUCACCAAGGCGACGAUGUCUAGGGGUUCUGAGAGGAUUAUCCCCCACACUGGUACUGAGACACGGACCAGACUCCUACGGGAGGCAGCCAGUGAGGAAUAUUGGUCAAUGGCCGAAAGGCUGAACCAGCCAUGCCGCGUGCAGGAAGACGGUUCUAUGAAUUGUAAACUGCUUUUUACAGGAAGAAACCCUUUAACGUGUUAAAGGCUGACGGUACUGUAUGAAUAAGCAUCGGCUAACUCCGUG
rnacentral:rRNA from 1 species